UACAGAGGGUGCGAGCGUUAAUCGGAGUUACUGGGCGUAAAGGGCGCGUAGGCGGCCAUUCAAGUGACGGGUGAAAGCCCUCGGCUUAACCGAGGAACUGCCUGUCAGACUGGAUGGCUUGAGACCGGGAGAGGUGAGUGGAAUUCCCAGUGUAGCGGUGAAAUGCGUAGAUAUUGGGAGGAACACCAGUGGCGAAGGCGGCUCACUGGACCGGAACUGACGCUGAGGCGCGAAAGCGUGGGGAGCAAACAGG
rnacentral:rRNA from 1 species